rnacentral:rRNA from 1 species
AUUGAACGCUGGCGGCAUGCCUUACACAUGCAAGUCGAACGGCAGCACGGGUGCUUGCACCUGGUGGCGAGUGGCGAACGGGUGAGUAAUACAUCGGAACAUGUCCUGUAGUGGGGGAUAGCCCGGCGAAAGCCGGAUUAAUACCGCAUACGAUCUACGGAUGAAAGCGGGGGACCUUCGGGCCUCGCGCUAUAGGGGUGGCCGAUGGCUGAUUAGCUAGUUGGUGGGGUAAAGGCCUACCAAGGCGACGAUCAUUAGCUGGUCUGAGAGGACGACCAGCCACACUGGGACUGAGACACGGCCCAGACUCCUACGGGAGGCAGCAGUGGGGAAUUUUGGACAAUGGGCGAAAGCCUGAUCCAGCAAUGCCGCGUGUUUGAAGAAGGCCUUCGGGUUGUAAAGCACUUUUGUCCGGAAAGAAAUCCUUGGCCCUAAUACGGUCGGGGGAUGACGGUACCGGAAGAAUAAGCACCGGCUAACUACGUG